rnacentral:ncRNA from 1 species
CUAGAUGGCUAAAGUCCAGUAGCCGAAAGCAUCACUAGCUUAUGCUCUGACCCGAGUAGCAUGGGGCACGUGGAAUCCCGUGUGAACCAGCAAGGACCACCUUGCAAGGCUAAAUACUCCUGGGUGACCGAUAGCGAAGUAGUACCGUGAGGGAAAGGUGAAAAGAACCCCCAGUGGGUAGUGAAAUAGAACGUGAAACCGUGC